rnacentral:rRNA from 1 species
UACGAAGGGGGCUAGCGUUGUUCGGAAUCACUGGGCGUAAAGGGCGCGUAGGCGGCCUGAUAAGUAGGGGGUGAAAUCCUGCGGCUUAACCGCAGGGCUGCCUUCUAAACUGUCAGGCUGGAGCACAGUAGAGGCAGGUGGAAUUCCCGGUGUAGCGGUGGAAUGCGUAGAGAUCGGGAAGAACAUCAGUGGCGAAGGCGGCCUGCUGGGCUGUUGCUGACGCUGAGGCGCGACAGCGUGGGGAGCAAACAGG